rnacentral:rRNA from 1 species
GGGCCCGCACAAGCGGUGGAGCAUGUGGUUUAAUUCGAUGCAACGCGAAAAAACCUUACCUACUCUUGACAUACUUGGGAGCUCUUGUAAUGAGAGUGUGCCUUUGGAACCAAUGAUACAGGUGCUGCAUGGCUGUCGGUCAGCUCGUGUCGUGAGAUGUUCCGUUAAGUCGGAUAACGAGCGCAACCCUUACCCUUAUUUGCCAGCGAUUCGGUCGGGAACUAUAAGGGGACUGCCGGUGAUAAACCGGAGGAAGGUGAGGACGACGUCAAGUCAUCAUGGCCCUUACGAGUAGGCUACACACGUGCUACAAUGGGGAAUACAGACGGACGCUAAGCCGCGAGGUGGUGCUAA